CUCUAAAUUUGUAACGUAGUAAAAUAUAGAGUAAUGAGCUAAACAGCCUAGUAAGCAAUGGCUAUCUUAACUAAAUAAUUUAUGUGAUAAUAUAUGUUACGAAUAUCAAAAUAUAAUUUAUCAUUAAUCAGCAUAUAAAUAUAAUCAAAUUUAUUUUCAAAAUAUGAAUUCAUUAAUGAUAGUAUCUUUCAAAUAUUUAUAUACAUAAUCAUAUAUUUGAUUUCUAAGUUAAUCAUAUUUAAAAAUCUGAUUCAAAAUAAAUUUUACUUAACUCAUCAACUUUUAACUAUGACCACGC
rnacentral:lncRNA from 1 species